rnacentral:rRNA from 1 species
AGUCGAGGGGCAGCAUUUCAGUUUGCUUGCAAACUGGAGAUGGCGACCGGCGCACGGGCUGAGUAACACGCUAUCCAACCUGCCGAUAACUCGGGGAUAGCCUUUCGAAAGAAAGAUUAAUACCCGAUGGUAUAAUCANACCGCAUGGUCUUGUUAUUAAAGAAUUUCGGUUAUCGAUGGGGAUGCGUUCCAUUAGGCAGUUGGUGAGGUAACGGCUCACCAAACCUUCGAUGGAUAGGGGUUCUGAGAGGAAGGUCCCCCACAUUGGAACUGAGACACGGUCCAAACUCAUACGGGAGGCAGCAGUGAGGAAUAUUGGUCAAUGGGCGCAGGCCUGAACCAGCCAAGUAGCGUGAAGGAUGACUGCCCUAUGGGUUGUAAACUUCUUUUAUAUGGGAAUAAAGUUUUCCACGUGUGGAAUUUUGUAUGUACCAUAUGAAUAAGGAUCGGCUAACUUCCGUGCCAGCAGCCGCGGUAAUACGGAGGAUCCGAGCGUUAUCCGGAUUUAUUGGGUUUAAAGGGAGCGUAGGUGGACAGUUAAGUCAGUUGUGAAAGUUUGCGGCUCAACCGUAAAAUUGCAGUUGAUACUGGCUGUCUUGAGUACAGUAGAGGUGGGCGGAAUUCGUGGUGUAGCGGUGAAAUGCUUAGAUAUCACGAAGAACUCCGAUUGCGAAGGCAGCUCACUGGACUGCAACUGACACUGAUGCUCGAAAGUGUGGGUAUCAAACAGGAUUAGAUACCCUGGUAGUCCACACAGUAAACGAUGAAUACUCGCUGUUUGCGAUAUACAGUAAGCGGCCAAGCGAAAGCAUUAAGUAUUCCACCUGGGGAGUACGCCGGCAACGGUGAAACUCAAAGGAAUUGACGGGGGCCCGCACAAGCGGAGGAACAUGUGGUUUAAUUCGAUGAUACGCGAGGAACCUUACCCGGGCUUAAAUUGCAUUUUGAAUAUAUUGGAAACAGUAUAGCCGUAAGGCAAAUGUGAAGGUGCUGCAUGGUUGUCGUCAGCUCGUGCCGGGAGGUGUCGGCUUAAGUGCCAUAACGAGCCCAACCCUUAUCUUUAGUUACUAACAGGUCAUGCUGAGGACUCUAGAGAGACUGCCGUCGUAAGAUGUGAGGAAGGUGGGGAUGACGUCAAAUCAGCACGGCCCUUACGUCCGGGGCUACACACGUGUUACAAUGGGGGGUACAGAAGGCAGCUACCUGGUGACAGGAUGCUAAUCCCAAAAGCCUCUCUCAGUUCGGAUCGAAGUCUGCAACCCGACUUCGUGAAGCUGGAUUCGCUAGUAAUCGCGCAUCAGCCAUGGCGCGGUGAAUACGUUCCCGGGCCUUGUACACACCGCCCGUCAAGCCAUGAAAGCCGGGGGUACCUGAAGUACGUAACCGCAAGGAGCUCCUAGG